GUUUGCAGGGGUGCGCAAGGCUGAGAUGAAUUAAUUCAAACCCUUAUACCUGAUGCGGAUAAUGCCGCCGUAGGGAGCUGAUAAA
rnacentral:ncRNA from 1 species